rnacentral:lncRNA from 1 species
UACCCAUGAAACAUAACUUGUUGUUUGAAAGUCGUAAGUCUUGCCUUUAUAAUGCGAUAGUGUCAACUCUUGCUCAUGAGAUGUAACUUGAAUGGAAGAAAUCGAAGAAAAGAACAAAAAUAAUAAAAAUUGCCGAAAAAGAAAGAAAAUGAAGAAAAAUAUUUAAAAAACAAAAAUUAAAGAAAAUGUAGAACUUGAGAGAUAAUAGAAAAAAAAUAAAGGUUGAUAAAAAAAAAAGAUUAAAUAAAAAUAACGGUCGAGAAAAAUUUUAAAAAAAAAUCAAAGAAAAAUAAAAGAAAGUUUUUUUAAUAUAAAAGUAGACGUUGAAAGGUGUAAAAAAAAGUAAGGGUUGAGAAAAACUAAAAAACACAAAAAAAAAGGAAAGAAAAAAUAAAAAUAAUAUAAAAUAAAUAAAUAAAUAAAAGAAGUUGAGAGAAAAAAAGGAAAAAAGUAAGGAUUGAGAAAAUUAAAAAUAAUAAGAGAAAAGAAAAAAUAAAAAUCAAAGUAAAAAUAAAAAGAGAAAAAAAAAUAAAAGUUGAAAGAUAUAAAUAUGGAGUUGUUAUCUAUUAUGAGAAUUAUUUAUGUAAUUUACUCCAUUGAUCAGGGGCAAUUUUGUGCAAAAAAAUAUUAGUUAAUAGGUAAAGGUUAUUUUAAGAAAAAUUUUUUAUUUGGGGCUAAAAUUUGAAAGCCACCCCAAUUUGGAUCUAUUUUUGAGAUUCACCCGUUUAUUUGUGUUUAUUUGAACACUCUAACUAAUUAAUCUAGAUAAAUCCUCUAAAGCGUUACCAUUUUAUUUUGUCACGACUUCUGGUCAAUUCACAAUUUUCUUACCUAAUUUAUCUCGUCUAAAUGAAUUAAGUGAUUCUUUCGAUUUUUUCUUCCUAUAACUAAUCUUAAAAGAAAAAUUUGCUAAGCACUUUAUUUUAAAAUGGGCAUUUGUUUUGUUCAUGUGACUAAUAGUUUAUUUGGGUUAAAAUAAUUUCCUUCAAACCAUAGAAAUUAUUUUCUCGUAAAUUUUAACUUUUUCACAAUUGAUAAGAUAGUUUUAACAUUAUAUUCUCUUAACAUUUUUUCAAAG